UACGUAGGGGGCAAGCGUUGUUCGGAAUCACUGGGCUUAAAGGGCGCGUAGGCGGGCUGUCAAGUCUGGGGUGAAAUGCCGCGGCUCAACCGUGGAACUGCCUUAGAUACUGACGGCCUCGAGGAAGGUAGGGGCAUGCGGAACUGUAGGUGGAGCGGUGAAAUGCGUUGAUAUCUACAGGAACUCCGGUGGCGAAAGCGGCGUGCUGGACCUUUUCUGACGCUGAGGCGCGAAAGCUAGGGGAGCAAACGGGG
rnacentral:rRNA from 1 species